rnacentral:rRNA from 1 species
GAUGAACGCUGGCGGCGUGCCUAAUACAUGCAAGUCGAGCGAACAGACGAGGAGCUUGCUCCUCUGACGUUAGCGGCGGACGGGUGAGUAACACGUGGAUAACCUACCUAUAAGACUGGGAUAACUUCGGGAAACCGGAGCUAAUACCGGAUAAUAUCUUGAACCGCAUGGUUCAAUAGUGAAAGACGGUUUUGCUGUCACUUAUAGAUGGAUCCGCGCCGCAUUAGCUAGUUGGUAAGGUAACGGCUUACCAAGGCAACGAUGCGUAGCCGACCUGAGAGGGUGAUCGGCCACACUGGAACUGAGACACGGUCCAGACUCCUACGGGAGGCAGCAGUAGGGAAUCUUCCGCAAAGGGCGAAAGCCUGACGGAGCAACGCCGCGUGAGUGAUGAAGGUCUUCGGAUCGUAAAACUCUGUUAUUAGGGAAGAACAAAUGUGUAAGUAACUAUGCACGUCUUGACGGUACCUAAUCAGAAAGCCACGGCUAACUACGUG